GGAAUGGGCUGUUUGGGAU
rnacentral:miRNA from 1 species